UGGGGUAUUAGUUUAGUGGUAAAAUACUGCACUGUCUAUGCAGAGUCAGGGGUUCGACUCCCCUAUACCUCGUUAG
rnacentral:tRNA from 1 species